rnacentral:rRNA from 1 species
AGAGUUUGAUCCUGGCUCAGGACGAACGCUGGCGGCGUGCCUAAUACAUGCAAGUCGUACGCUUCUUUUUCCACCGGAGCUUGCUCCACCGGAAAAAGAGGAGUGGCGAACGGGUGAGUAACACGUGGGUAACCUGCCCAUCAGAAGGGGAUAACACUUGGAAACAGGUGCUAAUACCGUAUAACAAUCGAAACCGCAUGGUUUUGAUUUGAAAGGCGCUUUCGGGUGUCGCUGAUGGAUGGACCCGCGGUGCAUUAGCUAGUUGGUGAGGUAACGGCUCACCAAGGCCACGAUGCAUAGCCGACCUGAGAGGGUGAUCGGCCACAUUGGGACUGAGACACGGCCCAAACUCCUACGGGAGGCAGCAGUAGGGAAUCUUCGGCAAUGGACGAAAGUCUGACCGAGCAACGCCGCGUGAGUGAAGAAGGUUUUCGGAUCGUAAAACUCUGUUGUUAGAGAAGAAUAAGGAUGAGAGUAACUGUUCAUCCCUUGACGGUAUCUAACCAGAAAGCCACGGCUAACUACGUGCCAGCAGCCGCGGUAAUACGUAGGUGGCAAGCGUUGUCCGGAUUUAUUGGGCGUAAAGCGAGCGCAGGCGGUUUCUUAAGUCUGAUGUGAAAGCCCCCGGCUCAACCGGGGAGGGUCAUUGGAAACUGGGAGACUUGAGUGCAGAAGAGGAGAGUGGAAUUCCAUGUGUAGCGGUGAAAUGCGUAGAUAUAUGGAGGAACACCAGUGGCGAAGGCGGCUCUCUGGUCUGUAACUGACGCUGAGGCUCGAAAGCGUGGGGAGCAAACAGGAUUAGAUACCCUGGUAGUCCACGCCGUAAACGAUGAGUGCUAAGUGUUGGAGGGUUUCCGCCCUUCAGUGCUGCAGCUAACGCAUUAAGCACUCCGCCUGGGGAGUACGACCGCAAGGUUGAAACUCAAAGGAAUUGACGGGGGCCCGCACAAGCGGUGGAGCAUGUGGUUUAAUUCGAAGCAACGCGAAGAACCUUACCAGGUCUUGACAUCCUUUGACCACUCUAGAGAUAGAGCUUCCCCUUCGGGGGCAAAGUGACAGGUGGUGCAUGGUUGUCGUCAGCUCGUGUCGUGAGAUGUUGGGUUAAGU